rnacentral:lncRNA from 1 species
UUUCUUUGCCCCUUCCGCCUUCCGGAUGGAUGAAAGCAGAAGCAGUGGCUGGAGCUAGAGCAGCUAUUUAGGACUAUGAGAUGGAAGAAAUGUGGUGACAAUAGCAGAACAAAAAUAUAGAAAUCUUGGGUACUUGAUGACCACGGAGCCGCCAUACAAACUCUGGACUAUAAUUUCCAGAGACUGUUUAUAGAAUGAAGAUACUGUCAUUACCUCUGCAAAGAAUGCAUCCUAGCACAGAUCAAAGAUCUUCCAAGUCCAGCCACACCAUUUUACAGUUCUGAACCUCGACUUAGGAAAGCAGUGGAUCUUUAUACAUUUGACACAUCCCUUCCCUCUAGGGUAAGAAAAAAUAAGCCUAGUUUUGCAUAAGUCCUUUUCUG